rnacentral:rRNA from 1 species
AGAGCGAACGCUGGCGGCAGGCCUAAUACAUGCAAGUCGAACGGAUCCUUCGGGAUUAGUGGCGGACGGGUGAGUAACACGUGGGAACGUGCCCUUUGGUUCGGAACAACUCAGGGAAACUUGAGCUAAUACCGGAUGUGCCCUUCGGGGGAAAGAUUUAUCGCCAUUGGAGCGGCCCGCGUCUGAUUAGCUAGUUGGUAGGGUAAAGGCCUACCAAGGCUUCGAUCAGUAGCUGGUCUGAGAGGAUGAUCAGCCACACUGGGACUGAGACACGGCCCAGACUCCUACGGGAGGCAGCAGUAGGGAAUCUUGCGCAAUGGGCGAAAGCCUGACGCAGCCAUGCCGCGUGAAUGAUGAAGGUCUUAGGAUUGUAAAAUUCUUUCAGCGGGGACGAUAAGUGACGGUACCGCGAGAAGAACGCCCCGGCUAACUUCGUGCCAGCAGCCGC